ACUCGGGCCGGCGGACAGUGAGGGCGCGACAAGGGAGGUGUCACAGUUUUCCAUUUAGAUCAACAACUUCAAGUUCUUACCAUGGAAAAUUCCGAGAAGACUGAAGUGGUUCUCCUUGCUUGUGGUUCCUUCAAUCCCAUCACCAACAUGCACCUCAGGUUGUUUGAGCUGGCCAAGGACUACAUGAAUGGAACAGGUAGGAGCAGUAACCAAAAGCGGCUUAAGACUAGAGAACCAGCCGGGCACGGUGGCUCACACCUGCAAUCCCAGCAUUUUGGAAGGCUGAGACGGGCAGAUCACAAGGUCAAGAGAUCGAGACCAUCCUAGCCAACAUGAUAAAACCGCGUCUCUACUAAAAAAUACAAAAAUUAGCUGUGCCUGUAGUCCUAGCUACUCGGGAGGCUGAGGCAGUAGAAUCGCUUGAACCCGGGAGGCGGAGGUUGCAGUGAGCUGAGAUUGCCGCAGUGCACUCCAGCCUGGAGACAGAGCGAGACGCCAACUCAAAAAAAAA
rnacentral:sRNA from 1 species